rfam:Bacteriovorax sp. MedPE-SWde Bacteriovorax-sp-MedPE-SWde-C13, whole genome shotgun sequence.
CGAGUUAAGGAGACUAUCGCCGGAAACUUAGGUUUCGGGAGGAAAGUCCGGGCACCAAAUGGCAGCUUAGCGGGUAACGCCCGUCGGCCGUGAGGCUAGGACAAGUGCAACAGAAAGAAUGUACAGGGGUCUGAAUUAGAUUGGGGUAGCUUCGGCCGUCCAAUCAAUGAGAGUUUCGGCUCACCUGCUGUAGUGAAAACAGGUAAACUCUAGGCGGUGCAAGUUCAAAUAGGUCCACAUUAUGAGAGCGGCCAGCUUUCGUGGACGGGUUGAGCGCUUGAGCCUAACGGUAACGUUAGGCCUAGACGAAUGGUAGUCCAAUACAGGACCCGGCUUAUACCUUAACUCGGAUU